GACAGGGAACCUAAAGUGGCCCUGGAAAAACAAAACAAAAAAAAAAGUGGCCCCAAAAGAUGGCAACACAAGUUGGCAUGUAUCUCAUGUUAGUGGUUUAACAGCUGCUGUUCCCUCAUGGUAUCUUCCUGCCUCAUGUAAGACAGAAGAUUGGCUAUCCAAAACAAGGACAUUCUGCAUUCAGUCAAUGGCAUGUACAAAAAGGAAAUUAUAUAUUCUUGGAAUAAAUACAUCAUGAAAAUGUACAUCUAACCACAUAAAAGGUUGUAUGGAAAACCAAAGGAUAGGUCAUCAGUAAAAAGAACAUCUUGGAAAACCCCUUUAAAUAGAAACAAAGUAAUACUCACGGCAAAAGUGAAAAUUCAGCUUUCUUGCAGUUUUAGAAGUCCCCCAACUAAUCACACAGUGUGGCCAUCUUAAAUGACAGAAGAGGAGACGGGGAAUUGGCAGAGCUGCAGCUAAAAAGAUGAAAAGGAGGUAACAGGUUAGUGUUCUGCUCGUUCCCCAGUUAAUAUGAUUUGUUUCUAGAACCAAAGUGUUGCUUUAAAUCAUCGUUAUU